AAAGAAAAUAUAGACAUUUAAGUAACAUGUAUUGAAUUAGUUGCCACACAUUAAAUAAGCCUUUUGGGUCCCUUGGUGGCUACAGGAGAAACAAUUCGCUAACUAUUGUGGCGAAUUGAAAACUAUCGCGAAAUGCCCAAGAGGUACCGCAAGCUAUAGUUUCAUUCAGCUUGUGGCAGAAAGUGCCAUAACUACCAGUGUAUGAAGUUUAAGUAAAACAAUGAUUCACAAUGGCAGCGCUGUUGCAAUUGCAGUUGCAGUUUCAACAAAAGAAGCAGCCUAGGGCAGGCAUAUUACCCGCAUUAUUUCCAUCAGCAUUAGGAGAAAUACCGCAAAAGGAGUCGUGCCAUAAUCACCGACAACAUUAUUAGCGGUGUAACUGAAGAACACAGCAUAAGGAGACCGAGGUUUGCCGCAACUUGCCAAGCGCAACUUACCCUUGGUUUCCCGUUUUUUUAUUGGACUAGAAAUGCUGCAAAGUGUGGCAGGCAACAAGAUGCCCCUCAAUUAGCCGGUCGCAUUAAAAUAGGGGCAAGUCCCCUUUUUUUUUCUUUUUGUUUGACUUUUGUACAAUUGUGGGAAAAAGUAGGCCAUUGUUUUCGAGUGAUUUGAAGAUAUGUUCCGCCAGGAAAAUAAUUUGAGGAAUUGCUGAUCGCUGAUACGCUGCGAAGGGAGUUGGACAAAUGCCUAGCACUCGACGGCAUUUAAAUUAAAUGCCAAUGUAUCUCCGCACACACAAAACACAGCGGUCUGCCGCCUAGAGGAGAUAUCGAAAGCUGUUUCAACGACAACCAUCUGAAAGAUUGCUCCCAGUAUGCUUGAUUUAUUUAUAACACAUGCUACGCAUCGCAUACGCUUAUGAAAUUCACAAAAUAAGGACACGAAAAUCACGAAAGAAGAUGGCACAAGAAAAAAAAAUAACUGAUACUGAAAAAGGGAAUCGGCAACAAGAACAAAAGCAAAAACAACAACAACAAAUACACGACAGACGGAGAGACAGGAUAUAGAGGGACAAACGACAUAAAAAGCGACAUCAUCCAAUCAAUUUAUGCGCCAAUGUCUCCAGUGGGUGGGCCUUUCCACAAAGACCUUCUGGGGUUCUCCCCGAGAUUGAAAACUGGAUAAUUGGAAGUGGGUUGAGAGUCGAGUCGAGUUGAGAGUUCCCCU